rnacentral:tRNA from 1 species
GAAAUAAUAAAAUUAAAGAAUAGGCUUCUAACUUAAUUCUUAAGCAUUGCAAUAUGUUUUUAUUUCU